CUGAGUUAUCUAACUCCCAAACCAUUGUGAACUUACCACUGUUGCCUCGGCGGCAGUCCUCUGUAACAGGAGGCGGCCGCCGGUGGACUACUAAACUCUUGUUAAUUUUUGUCAAUUCUGUUUCUCUGCGUUGGCAUCUCGAGAAAAGCAAAAUAAGUUA
rnacentral:misc_RNA from 1 species